UAGCGAUUGGAAGGACGGUGUCAGGCCAUAGUUAUGACAAUGGUGGAUCCACUAACUUCAAUACUGAAAACCUUACCAACGGAGAUGGAGUCGACACCUGUGAACGUUUCAAUGGAUACAACAUUUAUUUUAACAUAUACCUUCAAACGACAUAUAACAUAAAGUUGUCAAGGCUUGUAUUCAAAGGGAAUUUUUCUUCAAACGCAACGUAUUUCCAGAACUACGAUAACACUUAUGACUGGCCAUUUUACAUCACUGAUUCAUUUAGAACCGAAGUUCCACACACAGUAGACUUUGAUAUUCAACGCACAGGAUCAUACAUUUACUUUUAUAUAUGGUUUGAUUAUAUAAACUCUUUCGAAAUUGAGCUAUGUGAAAUAGAAAUAAUUGGUUGUGAAACUGACCAUUAUGGUGAGGACUGUCUCCCCUGUAAUAAGUCUAAGAAUUGUGAAGUUUGUGACGUUAACAAUGGAGCAUGCUAUGUCUGCAGCGAAGGUUACACAGGACCAAACUGUAGCAUAAGUAUUACUUUCUUCCUUAAUUUUCAUUGUUAUCUCAUUAUAAUUCCAAAUUUGUUAUAUUUUUUCUAUGUGCAAUUUGCUACACUGAAGUAUCUUUAGCACGCAAACAUGUAAUUUGUUGUUCCCUGUUUGUUUGUUGUC